rnacentral:lncRNA from 1 species
UGGAAUAAAUCUAUUGAAAAUCUUUUUACAAUAAUAAGUCUAAAUAGUAAUAAUCAACUCCUAUAUUACGACAAAUCAUAAAAGGGAUUAAUAAUAUAGAAAUUAAAUAACUAAAAUAAAUAAAUAAUAAAUAGACAAACGACUAAACAUAUUAACCAAUCAGGAAGAUUAACUCGUUUCAGGAUUUGUAAUUAACUUCAAAUUAGGGUUUUAGGGUGGAUUAGCUAUCAAUUAACCAAUUAUUACCUCCCGACUUUUAA